UACGGGGGGGGCAAGCGUUAUCCGGAUUCACUGGGUUUAAAGGGUGCGUAGGCGGUUCCCUAAGUCAGUGGUGAAAUACGGCAGCUUAACUGUCGAGGUGCCAUUGAUACUGCGGGACUUGAGUACAGACGAGGUAGGCGGAAUUGACGGUGUAGCGGUGAAAUGCUUAGAUAUCGUCAAGAACACCGAUAGCGAAGGCAGCUUACUAGACUGAAACUGACGCUGAGGCACGAAAGUGUGGGGAGCAAACAGG
rnacentral:rRNA from 1 species